rnacentral:rRNA from 1 species
GACGAACGCUGGCGGCGUGCUUAACACAUGCAAGUCGAGCGAGAAACUUCGGUUUCUAGCGGCGGACGGGUGAGUAACACGUGGGCAACCUGCCUCACAAUGGGGGAUAGCCUUCCGAAAGGAAGAUUAAUACCGCAUAACACAAAGGAAACGCAUGUUUCUUUUGCCAAAGAAUUUCGUUGUGAGAUGGGCCCGCGGCGCAUUAGCUUGUUGGUGAGGUAACGGCUCACCAAGGCGACGAUGCGUAGCCGACCUGAGAGGGUGAUCGGCCACAUUGGAACUGAGACACGGUCCAGACUCCUACGGGAGGCAGCAGUGGGGAAUAUCGCACAAUGGAGGAAACUCUGAUGCAGCAACGCCGCGUGAGUUAUGAAGGUCUUCGGAUUGUAAAGCUCUGUCUUCUGGGACGAUAAUGACGGUACCAGAGGAGGAAGCCACGGCUACUACGUGCCAGCCGCCGCGGUAA